rnacentral:rRNA from 1 species
GACAGAGGAUGCAAACGUUGCUCGGAAUUACUGGGCGUAAAGCGCGCGCAGGUGGUCCGGUAAGUCGGGUGUGAAAUCCCAGGGCUCAACCUCGGAAGUGCACUCGAUACUGCUGGACUUGAGUACUGGAGAGGAGAGCGGAAUUCUCGGUGUAGAGGCGAAAUUCGUAGAUAUCGGGAGGAACACCAGUGGCGAAGGCGGCUCUCUGGACAGAUACUGACACUGAGGCGCGAAAGCGUGGGAAGCAAACAGG